GCAUCGAUGAAGAACGCAGCAAAAUGCGAUAAGUAAUGUGAAUUGCAGAAUUCAGUGAAUCAUCGAAUCUUUGAACGCACAUUGCGCCCGCCAGUAUUCUGGCGGGCAUGCCUGUUCGAG
rnacentral:rRNA from 1 species